CUUUAAGGACUCUAGCUAGUGGGGAACACCAUCGAUGACCUCAUCAGCAAAGUAAUAGCAAGACCCACAAACAGAUUAAUCAGUCGUCUGAUUCUCCGGUAGCAGAAGCCGUCGCCGAUCACCGCUAUAAAUUUAUUCUGUCGCCAUAGCUACAAUCUAAGAUAGUAUUUUGUCAGCUUACUAAGGAGCAUGUAUUUUUGGAAAAAGUAAAAAUAAAAGAGGAUAGAGCUCGGAUCAGACAAGUGGUCUCUUCACUUCUUGGUGGCUUCACACGUGUCGCCAUUCUUAUCCAUUUGAAGCUCCACUUCCCAUACAGAGUCACACAGUCCAAUCUAUUCUAAACAGGC
rnacentral:lncRNA from 1 species